UCAACAAUGAGCUCUCCGAUUGCUCAUUCGCCAACUCUUCCAAUUGACCGACCCACUAAGGAACGCUUCAGCUGCAGCACAUGCAACAAAACCUUUAAGAACAUGAAAACCUGCCACGUCCGCCUGAUGAGAUACAGUCAUGAACUCAAGGAAGUCUUGGAAAUUUCUGUACCCUUCUUCUUAAACCUACGGAAGCAAGAUAUCAAGUGCCCUUUGUGUCCUUUCAAGGGAAAACAAGUUAAAACACCCCAAAACUUCAUCACUCACUUCUCCCGCCACGGUAGCAGAUACAACCUAACAAUUGC